rnacentral:tRNA from 1 species
UUAGGGAGGUGGGAGUUGAACCCACGACAAAGAAGUCAAAGUUCUUCGUUUUUCCAGUUAAACUACUCCUUA